UGCUUUAUUGUUGAGACUGAAGGGGAUUAUUCUCCGGCUAAUUUACUUAAUAAUGAUACAAAACUACAAAAGUGUAAUGCUAGCAUGUCGCAUCGGUCUAUCGUAUGCACCAAUAUCAAUAAAAUAAUUGUGUGUAUCGAUAUUGUGUGAUAUUGUUUAUAUAAAUUUCGGGACUAAAAAAGGGGCGACCAGGUUCAACGACGAUUGCGAAAACCUCAAGAAAAAGACAGUUCUUCUUCGAACAAGAAGGCUAUCUACGUUGAGAGAAGAGAGAAACCAACAAAUGAAAUAGGUGACAAAAUCAGCCGACUGUCAAACAGUUUGGGUCUGAACAUGGAUCCAGACGACGAAAGGAGGCCGUUGUUAGGCAAUGAAAUAGUGCAGGAGGGGCGGCAGAUGGAAGCCAAGACACAAAACGCCGUGUUACGAGCAGAAAAUCUUCAAAGCGUGGCUCACGAGAUGUUUAAGCCGAUUUCACCUGAAAAGUCAAGCUGCUGGGGCUGCUGGGGCUGCAGGGGCUGCUGCGCCAUUCUCUGUGAAAUCUGGGCUUCUUGUAUAUCCGUAAAGUGCCGACCAGAUUAGCCUGUGCAGUCCGGACGACACUGUUUUAACGCAAAUUAAUUGACCUAAACUUCCCAGAACGCGACUAAUUUGAAGGCAUUUAACCGAUUGAGGACCAUUCCAACCAUUUCAUUCAAAGAUUUCACCACGUCUCCUCAAUAGCGUGUCAAGCGUUGCAAAAUUCAAUGUUUGCAUAUAUGUUUGUUGUAUAUUUGUAUACAUAAUUUUUCUAUAUUUCCAUGCUCAUGUGGUAAACUUUAAUAUAUAUGUUAUAUAAGCCCGUAUGUGUUUAUGAUA